UACGUAGGGUGCGAGCGUUAAUCGGAAUUACCGGGCGUAAAGCGUGCGCAGGCGGUUCGCCAAGUCAGGUGUGAAAUCCCCGGGCUUAACCUGGGAAUUGCGCUUGAAACUAGCGGGCUUGAGUGUGGCAGAGGGGGGUGGAAUUCCACGUGUAGCAGUGAAAUGCGUAGAGAUGUGGAGGAACACCGAUGGCGAAGGCAGCCCCCUGGGUCAACACUGACGCUCAUGCACGAAAGCGUGGGGAGCAAACAGG
rnacentral:rRNA from 1 species